rnacentral:rRNA from 1 species
CCCUACGGGAGGCAGCAGUGAGGAAUAUUGGUCAAUUUUCGUUAUCCUUAACCAUCCAAUUCUCUUUAUUUAAUACUUUCCUAUUGAUUGUAAACCUCUUUAGGCGGGGAUCAAUGCCGGGCACGCGUGCCCGGAGGGAGAGUACCCGCAGAAUAAGCAUCGGCUAACUCCGUGCCAGCAGCCGCGGUAAUACGGAGGAUGCGAGCGUUAUCCGGAUUUAUUGGGUUUAAAGGGUGUUUAUGCUUAUUUUUAAUUCAGCGGUAAAAUGUCCG